rnacentral:rRNA from 1 species
CCUACGGGUGGCAGCAGUGAGGAAUAUUGGUCAAUGGGAGAGAUCCUGAACCAGCCAAGCCGCGUGAGGGAAGACGGCCCUAUGGGUUGUAAACCUCUUUUGUCGGAGAACAAAACCCGGGACGUGUCCCGGACUGCGCGUAUCCGAAGAUAAAGCAUCGGCCAAUUCCGUGCCAGCAGCCGCGGUAAUACGGAGUAUGCGAGCGUUAUCGGGAUUUAUUGGGUUUAAGGGGUGCGUAGGCGGUCCGUUAAGUCAGCGGGAAAAUUGCGGGGCUCAACCCCGUCGCGCCGUUGAAACUGGCAGACUUGAGUGGGCGAGAAGUACGCGGAAUGCGCGGUGUAGCGGUGAAAUGCAUAGAUAUCGCGCAGAACUCCGAUUGCGAAGGCAGCGUACCGGCGCCAGACUGACGCUGAGGCACGAAAGCGUGGGGAUCGAACAGGAUUAGAUACCCGAGUAGUC